rnacentral:rRNA from 1 species
AUACGAAGGGUGCAAGCGUUACUCGGAAUUACUGGGCGUAAAGCGUGCGUAGGUGGUUGUUUAAGUCUGUCGUGAAAGCCCUGGGCUCAACCUGGGAACUGCGAUGGAAACUGGGCGACUAGAGUGUGGUAGAGGGUAGCGGAAUUCCUGGUGUAGCAGUGAAAUGCGUAGAUACCAGGAGGAACAUCCAUGGCGAAGGCAGCUACCAGGGCCAACACUGACGCUGAGGAACGAAAGCGUGGGGAGGAAACAGGAAUAGAUACCCUGGUAGUCCGCGCCCUAAACGAUGCGAACUGGAUGGUGGGUGCACUUUGGCACGCAGUAUCGAAGGUAACGCGUUAAGGUCGCCGCCUGGGGAGUACGGUAGCAACACUGAAUCUCAAAUGAAUUGACGGGG